AUGUCAGCCGCCGCGGUAAUACGAAUGGGGCAAGCGUUGUUCGGAUUUACUGGGCGUAAAGCGGGCGUAGGCGGCCGGCUAAGUCGGAUGUGAAAUCCCGGGGCUCAACUCCGGAACUGCAUUCGAUACUGGUCGGCUAGAGUUCGAGAGGGGGAUGCGGAAUUCCGCGUGUAGCAGUGAAAUGCGUAGAUAUGCGGAGGAACACCUGAGGCGAAGGCGGCAUCCUGGAUCGACACUGACGCUGAGGCCCGAAAGCGUGGGGAGCAAACAGGAUUAGAUACCCUGGUAGUCCACGCCCUAAACGAUGUCUACUAGCCGUUGCGGGUAUCGACCCCUGCAGUGGCGCAGCUAACGCGAUAAGUAGACCGCCUGGGGAGUACGGCCGCAAGGUUAAAACUCAAAUGAAUUGGCGGGG
rnacentral:rRNA from 1 species